rnacentral:tRNA from 1 species
GCCGAAGUGGCUUAAUGGUAGAGCAACGGUAUCGUAAACCGUAGGUUGUGGGUUCGAUUCCCACCUUCGGCU